UACGGAGGGUGCGAGCGUUGUCCGGAAUCACUGGGCGUAAAGGGCGCGUAGGCGGCUUGGGAAGUCCGUGGUGAAAGCUCGUGGCUCAACUGCGAGUCGGCCAUGGAUACUCCUAAGCUCGAGCACUGUAGAGGCAGGUGGAAUUCCGGGUGUAGCGGUGGAAUGCGCAGAUAUCGGGAGGAACACCCGUAGCGAAGGCGGCACUCUGGGCCGGUACUGACGCUGAGGAGCGAAAGCGUGGGGAGCAAACAGG
rnacentral:rRNA from 1 species